rnacentral:rRNA from 1 species
UACAGAGGGGGCAAGCGUUGUUCGGAAUCACUGGGCGUAAAGCGCACGCAGGCGGAUCGUUAAGUCGGGGGUGAAAUCCCGAGGCUCAACCUCGGAACUGCCUUCGAUACUGGCGAUCUUUGAGUCCGGGAGAGGUGAGUGGAACUCCGAGUGUAGAGGUGAAAUUCGUAGAUAUUCGGAAGAACACCAGUGGCGAAGGCGGCUCACUGGCCCGGUACUGACGCUCAGGUGCGAAAGCGUGGGGAGCAAACAGG